rnacentral:rRNA from 1 species
AGGACGAACGCUGGCGGCGCGCUUAACACAUGCAAGUCGAGCGAGAACCAGGCCUUCGGGCCUGGGGAAAGCGGCGAACGGGUGAGUAACACGUGGGUAACCCACCCUUGGUACCGGGAUAGCCCGAGGAAACUCGGAUUAAUACCGGAUGGCCCAACAGCUUCUCGGAGCGGUUGGAAAAGGUAGCUUCGGCCUCCGACCAAGGACGGCCCGCGGUGGAUUAGCUUGUUGGUGAGGUAACGGCUCACCAAGGCUUCGAUCCAUAGCUGGUCUGAGAGGACGAUCAGCCACACUGGGACUGAGACACGGCCCAGACUCCUACGGGAGGCAGCAGUGGGGAAUCUUGCGCAAUGGGCGAAAGCCUGACGCAGCGACGCCGCGUGGGGGAAGAAGGCUUUCGGGUUGUAAACCCCUUUCAGGAAGGACGAAGCCACUCGGGUUAAUAGCCCAGAGGGUGACGGUACUUCCAGAAGAAGCGCCGGCUAACUACGUGCCAGCAGCCGCGGUAA